rnacentral:snoRNA from 1 species
GACCCCAUGGUGCUUACAGGAUGUGUUUUUACACUGUCUGCAUAGUAAGAAGAAGCAGAGUAACUCACCUCCUGUACACCUCAGCCCAGGCCCUGUGUCUGGUGUCCAUUGUGAGACGGGAGACAUGG